ensembl:misc_RNA Y_RNA Y RNA
GGCUGUUCCGCUGGCAGUGUGUUAUCAGAACUUAUUAACAUUAGUGUCACUAAAGUUAGUAUACAACCCCCCCACUGCUAAAUUUGACCGGCUUUUA